AUGCUUACAGCUUCAGCAGCACAUAUACUGAAAUUGGAACAAUACAGAGAAGAUGAUCAUGGUCCCUGUGCAAGGGUGAUACACAAAUUUGUGAGGUGUUCUGUAUUUUU